GUGAGGAAUUUUCCGCAAUGGGCGAAAGCCUGACGGAGCAAUGCCGCGUGAAGGAUGAAGGCCUAUGGGUUGUAAACUUCUUUUCUCAGAAAAGAAUUAUGACGGUAUCUGAGGAAUAAGCAUCGGCUAACUCUGUGCCAGCAGCCGCGGUAAGACAGAGGAUGCAAGCGUUAUCCGGAAUGAUUGGGCGUAAAGCGUCUGUAGGUUGCUUAAAAAGUAUUCUGUCAAAGAUUAGGGCUUAACCCUAGAUAGGCAGAAUAAACUUUUAAGCUAGAGUUUGGUAGAGGCAGAGGGAAUUCCCGGUGGAGCGGUGAAAUGCGUAGAUAUCGGGAGGAACACCAAAGGCGAAGGCACUCUGCUGGGCCAAUACUAACACUGAGAGACGAAAGCGAGGGGAGCAAAUGGGAUUAGAUACCCGAGUAGUCC
rnacentral:rRNA from 1 species